GGCCUCCCUCUGUGGGGUGAUCAAUUGCGGGGCCCCAGAUUGAUCACCCCGCAGAGGAAGGCC
rfam:Myotis lucifugus cont2.33189, whole genome shotgun sequence.